GGAUGAGUGAAGGCCCUGGGCUUGACAGAGCGGAGGAAGAGGUUGUUGAGAGGAAGAUUAUGGUGACUAUGUUGAUUGUGAGAGUGAAGAUCGGCGAGAUUCCGUUUUCCGAGGAGAGAAGAGGGGAUUUGGCGAGCGAUCUGAGCAGCGGCGGGAUCUAUGAAAGAACCACCGGAGAGCUGGGAUCUGUAAGCAUUUGGCUGAGAAGGGUUGGAAGACAUGGAUCUGCCGGCGGUAUAGAAAUCCGGAGCUCCACCGCCGGUGAAACCUGAUUGCAUCGUUACAAAACCGAUUCCUUCCCUCUCUG
rnacentral:misc_RNA from 1 species